AAUAGAUUCCAUUGUCUUACUAACUAUAACCAUUAACUUAUACUAAUUCUCAUUCGAAUAGCUUUUCUUUCCCUUUAUGUGUGCCUGAACCUUCAGGUUGCUCAUACGUAACUGAAAACAUUUAAUUUAAGCAAGGAUGAGCAUUUGAGUGCCCAGCAAGUAAUAGCAAUUAUAUAUAUAAGCUGAAAGAAUAUAAGUAUUCUCUUUACAUAACACUUCUACAACGAAUCAAAAGUUGUGAAGUAAUCUGUACUGAUAAAAGAUUCACAUAACAACUCUCUUUCAA
rnacentral:lncRNA from 1 species